rnacentral:rRNA from 1 species
UCAAGAAACUUCCACAAUGGGCGAAAGCCUGAUGGAGCGACGUCGCGUGAUGGACGAAGUGCUUCGGCACGUAAACAUCUUUUAUGUGGGAUGAAAUUAUUGACAGUACCACAUGAAUAAGGGGCUCCUAACUCUGUGCCAGCAGGAGCGGUAAUACAGAGGCCCCAAGCGUUAUCCGGAAUCACUGGGCGUAAAGGGUGUCGAGGCGGUUGUAUUAGUCGUUCGUAAAAUCUACGAGCUUAACUUGUAGGCGGCGAACGAAACGGUACGACUUGAGGUUUGGAGAGGUGCGUGGAACUCACGGUGUAGGGGUGAAAUCCGUUGAUAUCGUGGGGAACACCAAAGGCGAAGGCAGCCCCCUGGGUUAAUACUGACGCUCAUGCACGAAAGCGUGGGGAGCAAACAGGAUUAGAUACCCACGUAGUCCCUGAGCGGGCUGGCAAGGCGCAU